rnacentral:rRNA from 1 species
UCCAGACUCCUACGGGAGGCAGCAGUGGGGAAUAUUGCACAAUGGGGGAAACCCUGAUGCAGCGACGCCGCGUGAGUGAAGAAGUAUUUCGGUAUGUAAAGCUCUAUCAGCAGGGAAGAAAAUGACGGUACCUGACUAAGAAGCCCCGGCUAACUACGUGCCAGCAGCCGCGGUAAUACGUAGGGGGCAAGCGUUAUCCGGAUUUACUGGGUGUAAAGGGAGCGUAGACGGCAUGGCAAGUCAGAUGUGAAAGCCCGGGGCUCAACCCCGGGACUGCAUUUGAAACUGUCAGGCUGGAGUGCAGGAGAGGUAAGUGGAAUUCCUAGUGUAGCGGUGAAAUGCGUAGAUAUUAGGAGGAACACCAGUGGCGAAGGCGUCUUACUGGACCGAAACUGACGUUGAGGCUCGAAAGCGUGGGGAGCAAACAGGAUUAGAUACCCUGGUA